rnacentral:sRNA from 26 species
AUGCGAUGAGUCGAAAAAGUACAGCAAUGUACAUUUCAAGCUUAGAAGACACCUAGUGUUCAAUCACAGCGCGGGAAGCGCGGAGUUGUAAAGCAGAUGUGAACUGCUUUACACAUUUUAUUUUAUAAGAUGCUUCACUUUAAUCACCUAACGUUUUUAACGUUAGGUGAUUUUU